rnacentral:rRNA from 1 species
GACGAACCGUGCGAACGUUGUUCGGAAUCACUGGGCUUAAAGGGCGCGUAGGCGGGCUCACAAGUCAGGGGUGAAAUCCCACGGCUCAACCGUGGAAGUGCCUUUGAUAACUGUGGGUCUUGAGGGAGGUAGGGGCGUGCGGAACUUCCGGUGGAGCGGUGAAAUGCGUAGAUAUCGGAAGGAACACCGGUGGCGAAAGCGGCGCGCUGGACCUCUACUGACGCUGAGGCGG